rnacentral:rRNA from 1 species
AUUGAACGCUGGCGGCAGGCCUAACACAUGCAAGUCGAGCGGAUGAAGGGAGCUUGCUCCUGGAUUCAGCGGCGGACGGGUGAGUAAUGCCUAGGAAUCUGCCUUGUAGUGGGGGAUAACGUCCGGAAACGGGCGCUAAUACCGCAUACGUCCUGAGGGAGAAAGUGGGGGAUCGUCGGACCUCACGCUAUCAGAUGAGCCUAGGUCGGAUUAGCUAGUUGGUGGGGUAAAGGCCUACCAAGGCGACGAUCCGUAACUGGUCUGAGAGGAUGAUCAGUCACACUGGAACUGAGACACGGUCCAGACUCCUACGGGAGGCAGCAGUGGGGAAUAUUGGGCAAUGGGCGAAAGCCUGAUCCAGCCAUGCCGCGUGUGUGAAGAAGGUCUUCGGAUUGUAAAGCACUUUAAGUUGGGAGGAAGGGCAGUAAGUUAAUACCUUGCUGUUUUGACGUUACCAACACGAUAAGCACCGGCUAACUUCGUG